rnacentral:lncRNA from 1 species
CGGAGCGAGAUUUGAAACUUUGAAUUAUAUCAAAAUAUUUUUGAAAUGUCCUGUUUUAUUUAAAUAUAGAUACUUUGAAGAUUAGCUUGCAUAUACGUGUAAGGAAAAUUAGAUAUUGUGAUUUGUUAUAUUCAGUAUUUAUGUUAACAGAAUUAUAAUUUUCUUGUUUUGCUUUUUUCUUGUUAGUGAUUUGUAAAAGAUUUGAAACUAUCAUGAUUGGCCGAGUAUUUAUGAUUUAGUUUUUUUUUUGUUUAGAUUCUUUUGAUCAAUUUGUAGACGAUUUCAAAAAACUUCCUUAUUUUUCUAAUUUUGGGUUAUUGAUUUGAAAAUAUAUGUGCAACUAAGAUGAUAUCCCACGUAUAUUGCAAAUCUCGAUAUAUUCACAAUUUAAAGUAACUGGAUUUUUUUUUUUGUUAAAGGGUUUGAAUUUAAAGUAACUGGAUAGUAAAACUUUUAUUAUAUAUAAGCUUUAAUUGUUAUCCAAAUGAGUACUUGCUGUUUAUUUUUAAUAUUACUGAUAAUUAAACAAAAUAAAAAUGAUCUGGGGUUAAUGGGUUUGUGUCUAUUUCAUACUAUACAUCUCAAAAGGCAAAAUAUAAACACGAAUAUGUUCAUAUAUGUUAGAUUUUCAUAUUUCUGAAUAGGGCAUAAUGUUUAGUAUUAAGCAUCAUCCUUAUUUAAUUGUAUCAGAAUAUCAAAACUUCGAAUUGUUGUAAUGUGAUUGUUGAUAGAACCCGAUGAUCAGAGUCUCAAUAUUUAUAUGUUUAGAAAGCACGAAGACCUUUAAUGUGAAACAGAUGAGAAGUUUGUAUAAAGAAAAGAAACUUAAUU